UGAGGCUGAGGAAGAAGUUUUCAUAGUUUCAUCCCAGUAAGGCCCAGCUGAAACAGUCAAAAAAGGCAGAAGAGAGACAACAUUGCAGGAGACGAGGUCAACCGAGACAAACACAGAAAGAGCAUUGUGAAGGACAGAAAUGGGGGAGCUCAAUAUAGGAUGAGGAAGAUGUUGUUAAUGGAUGCAUGCAGGAGCUACAUGCCUGUGCGGAGCCACGGACGUCUCACUGGCCUUUUGUAUCAGUCAAAAACAAAAGCCCACUGAAGAUUGCCCAAACAAUUGAGGGGGAUUGUGUUUG